rnacentral:rRNA from 1 species
GACGAACCGUGCGAACGUUGUUCGGAAUCACUGGGCUUAAAGGGCGCGUAGGCGGCCAGAUCAGUCAGGCGUGAAAGCCCUGGGCUCAACCUGGGGACUGCGCUUGAGACGGUUUGGCUUGAGGGUGGAAGAGGCUCGCGGAAUUCCCAGUGUAGAGGUGAAAUUCGUAGAUAUUGGGAAGAACACCGAUGGCGAAGGCAGGUCACUGGGCCGCAACUGACGCUGAGGAGCGAAAGCAUGGGGAGCGAACAGG